GGGCUGCUAACUCAGUUGGUAGAGUACCCGCCUCUUAAGCGGGUGGUCAUUGGUUCAAGUCCAAUGCGGCCCACCA
rnacentral:tRNA from 1 species